rnacentral:rRNA from 1 species
CGGGGUGGAGUAAUGUCUGGGAAACUGCCUGAUGGAGGGGGAUAACUGCUGGAAACGGUAGCUAAUACCGCAUAACGUCGCAAGACCAAAGAGGGGGACCUUCGGGCCUCUUGCCAUCGGAUGUGCCUAGAUGGGAUUAGCUAGUAGGUGGGGUAACGGCUCACCUAGGCGACGAUCCCUAGCUGGUCUGAGAGGAUGACCAGCCACACUGGAACUGAGACACGGUCCAG